rnacentral:miRNA from 1 species
GACGUCGAUAUUCGACGUCAUAACCAAACUUGAUGGUGUUUAUGACGUCGAUAUUCGACGUCAUAAACACGAGCAAGUUUGGUGUUUAUGACGUCGAUAUUCGACGUC